rnacentral:rRNA from 1 species
AUGCAACGCCACAUCGACCCCUCCCGCCGCCCCAGAGAGAGCUACUCGCUGACCAUGUCUUCCCCGGCGACAGAGCAGGCCAUUUUCUUCCUGCGCAACCACGCCGUCACCAUGACUGCGACGGACGGUGUCAACGCCACGUCCCCUAUGGCGGUGGGCAGCACGCUGGAGGCGCAGCUUGCCGUCCCGGUGAGCCUGCUGCGUGUCACGGCUCACCACCCGAAACACUACCUCGUCAUCUACAGCCAGCCCACGCACCAUGUCAACGCCGUUCGCCGCGGCUCAAUC